rfam:Geobacter sulfurreducens PCA, complete genome.
CGGCGGGGACGACUCCGCCGCCCGAACAUCCACGGGGACGACCCC